GAUGAAGAACGCAGCGAAAUGCGAUAAGUAAUGUGAAUUGCAGAAUUCAGUGAAUCAUCGAAUAUUUGAACGCACAUUGCGCCCGUCAGUAUUCUGGCGGGCAUGCCUGUUCGAGCGUCAUUACGCCCCUCAAGUCCCCUGUGGACUUGGUGUUGGGGAUCGGCGAGGCUGGUUUUCCAGCACAGCCGUCCCUUAAAUUAAUUGGCGGUCUCGCCGUGGCCCUCCUCUGCGCAGUAGUAAAACACUCGCAACAGGAGCCCGGCGCGGUCCACUGCCGUAAAACCCCCCAACUUUUUAUAGUUGACCUCGAAUCAGGUAGGACUACCCGCUGAACUUAAGCAUAUCAAUAAGCGGAGGA
rnacentral:misc_RNA from 1 species